GACAGUUCGGUCUCUAUCCGCCGCGCGCGUAAGAAACUUGCGGAAGGCUGUCCCUAGUACGAGAGGACCGGGACGGACGAACCUCUGGUGUGCCAGUUGUUCCACCAGGAGCAUCGCUGGUUAGCUACGUUCGGAAGGGAUAACCGCUGAAAGCAUCUAAGCGGGAAGCCUGUUCCAAGAUGAGGUUUCUCACCACCUUCGCGUGGUUAAGGCCCCCCACAGACCAUGGGGUUGAUAGGCCGGAACUGGAAGCGCAGCAAUGCGUGCAGGUGACCGGUACUAAUCGGCCGAGGACUUACACAUAA
rnacentral:rRNA from 1 species